GAAUUCUGAACACAGCAAAAAGUACUGCAUAUAAUACCCACCUCAAAAAAAACAAUCCCUACAUUAUUUGUUACAAAUUAGACACGCAAAUGACAUCAACAGCGAAAUUGAAUCCGUUAAAAACCAACCCAUUCAAAAUGGAAAAGCAAAUACAAUGCAAAAUAAUUGGAAAUUAAUUGUGCCCAAUUCUACGUGAAGUGCGUGUCAUAUCACAAAAAAUCGAAGAUAAACACACGAAUUGGUAAUUACGCCAAACAUAAAUUAAAUCCUUUUAAGUGCAUUCUAUUGUGUGAUUACAAAAACUAGGAAGUAAAUAACGAAAUUGAUAUAAGAAUGCAAGCGCAUUUCACAACUAUUUUAAAUACGUGCCUCAAACAAGUGAGUUUUUACAUGAAGAUACAAGAAUUAAAAAGCAAUUAGAAGAAGUCGGUGAAGCAAUAAAUUAAUAAAAUAUCAAUUGGGAUCAUCAAAGGGUGGCGGCGAGCUGCGUCAGCAUGGAAAUUUAAUUAGCGACAGUUCAGUUCAGCUGAGCGGCGAUAAGUCGAAAGGAUUGGAUGGCACACAGUAUCGCCCACUUGCCCGACCCCUGCAGCCACCCACCACCACCCACCGCGGCACGAUGAGGGCAAGGGGAUGGAGGAGAUUUCGUUGAUUUUUGCAUGACGACAGCAAAAAGCGAAAAUGCGGAACAACAAUCGAAAUGCAACUGCACGGGUGUGUUGGUGUGCGAGCGAGUCAGCCUAUAUGAACCAGACAUGCGCGCUCUCUCUUAUCGACUUGAACUUGAAAACUUUUUACUGCCGGCAAAACGAGAGAGAGCGGAUAAGAGAGAGAGAGAGCGCGCUGAACAGGUACGUAUAUGGGUGAGUGUUUUCCAUUGAUUAAGUUAAACAAAAACAAAAUCAGAGCUGAGCGCAAGCUUCGCUCCCGCAGCUUUUGAUUUUCGCGAGAGCAGACAGCAGCUUUUGCGUGGGCGGCUUAGGGCAGCGCAGUCGACGUCGCUGCCGGCGCCAGCCAACUGUUUGCUGUUUUGUUGUAGGCACAUACUGUUGCAUACCUAAGGGGAUAGGAGGUGAAGUAGCGGGACUGGACGGCGAAGUGAGAAGUGGGAAAACGGUAGGUGGAAGGCGGGUGGCAGUGGAGGAGGGGCGUGACCUCCACCUGUGCGAGCCCAGCUGCAGCUUCCCCGUUGGGCAAGCUGGCAAAGUUUAUUCGGUGACGAGCGGGCGACCGAUGAGGUCAGCAUCACGCAUACGCCUAGUUAUCCCCCGUGUGCCAAGUAGUAUCCUGUUUGCUGUUAUUUUCAGUUCGUUCGCUUGUGAGUGUCCGUGUGCGCUUCGUUCCAAGUUCAUUUUAAAGGCGCGUCGCCCUAGUGGCAAAAUCAGGUGUGGAGAAUUGAUUAGCACACAGCCCGAAAAUGGGAGAAAAAUACAAACAAUAUGGUCGCUGCGGUGUGUGUACUUACAUAAAAUUCAAGUCAAGUGACGCACGCCAGCAUAUGGCAAUUAAAUUUGAAUAAUUAACCAGCUGAGAACGACACGAACGGAGCUCUCUUCGACACACACACACACACAUACACGCACACAAACGGGCAUACGGACAAACUAACACUAGCACUAGCUCAAAUUUGCCAUAUGCAACACUCGUUGUUGUUGCUCUUAUCGUGCACCUUGACCUUUCCACACCCAUGCAGCAGUACGCGUGGGCAGCAGCAGGAUAUUGGAUACACGCGCCCCAUUUCGGGGGAUCGGGGAUAUAUGUAUGUAUGUAUAUAUGUACAUGUGCAUGUACAUAUACACUCGGCUAUAUAGAACAACCCACAAGUCGGCUGGCAGCUGUUUGUAGCCGAAACCAAGGAGACGAGAUGCACGACAAAAACACUUCGGUUAUCACACUGAAAAGAGGUCCAGUUGGACCUGCGGAAGUGCAGAUGGUUC
ensembl:ncRNA lncRNA:CR45054 long non-coding RNA:CR45054